ACUUAAAUUGAAGAGUUUGAUCAUGGCUCAGAUUGAACGCUGGCGGCAGGCCUAACACAUGCAAGUCGAACGGUAGCACAGAGAGCUUGCUCUCGGGUGACGAGUGGCGGACGGGUGAGUAAUGUCUGGGAAACUGCCUGAUGGAGGGGGAUAACUACUGGAAACGGUAGCUAAUACCGCAUAACGUCGCAAGACCAAAGAGGGGGACCUUCGGGCCUCUUGCCAUCAGAUGUGCCCAGAUGGGAUUAGCUAGUAGGUGGGGUAAUGGCUCACCUAGGCGACGAUCCCUAGCUGGUCUGAGAGGAUGACCAGCCACACUGGAACUGAGACACGGUCCAGACUCCUACGGGAGGCAGCAGUGGGGAAUAUUGCACAAUGGGCGCAAGCCUGAUGCAGCCAUGCCGCGUGUAUGAAGAAGGCCUUCGGGUUGUAAAGUACUUUCAGCGGGGAGGAAGGUGUUGUGGUUAAUAACCACAGCAAUUGACGUUACCCGCAGAAGAAGCACCGGCUAACUCCGUGCCAGCAGCCGCGGUAAUACGGAGGGUGCAAGCGUUAAUCGGAAUUACUGGGCGUAAAGCGCACGCAGGCGGUCUGUCAAGUCGGAUGUGAAAUCCCCGGGCUCAACCUGGGAACUGCAUUCGAAACUGGCAGGCUAGAGUCUUGUAGAGGGGGGUAGAAUUCCAGGUGUAGCGGUGAAAUGCGUAGAGAUCUGGAGGAAUACCGGUGGCGAAGGCGGCCCCCUGGACAAAGACUGACGCUCAGGUGCGAAAGCGUGGGGAGCAAACAGGAUUAGAUACCCUGGUAGUCCACGCCGUAAACGAUGUCGACUUGGAGGUUGUGCCCUUGAGGCGUGGCUUCCGGAGCUAACGCGUUAAGUCGACCGCCUGGGGAGUACGGCCGCAAGGUUAAAACUCAAAUGAAUUGACGGGGGCCCGCACAAGCGGUGGAGCAUGUGGUUUAAUUCGAUGCAACGCGAAGAACCUUACCUACUCUUGACAUCCAGAGAACUUUCCAGAGAUGGAUUGGUGCCUUCGGGAACUCUGAGACAGGUGCUGCAUGGCUGUCGUCAGCUCGUGUUGUGAAAUGUUGGGUUAAGUCCCGCAACGAGCGCAACCCUUAUCCUUUGUUGCCAGCGGUUAGGCCGGGAACUCAAAGGAGACUGCCAGUGAUAAACUGGAGGAAGGUGGGGAUGACGUCAAGUCAUCAUGGCCCUUACGAGUAGGGCUACACACGUGCUACAAUGGCGCAUACAAAGAGAAGCGACCUCGCGAGAGCAAGCGGACCUCAUAAAGUGCGUCGUAGUCCGGAUUGGAGUCUGCAACUCGACUCCAUGAAGUCGGAAUCGCUAGUAAUCGUAGAUCAGAAUGCUACGGUGAAUACGUUCCCGGGCCUUGUACACACCGCCCGUCACACCAUGGGAGUGGGUUGCAAAAGAAGUAGGUAGCUUAACCUUCGGGAGGGCGCUUACCACUUUGUGAUUCAUGACUGGGGUGAAGUCGUAACAAGGUAACCGUAGGGGAACCUGCGGUUGGAUCACCUCCUUACCUUAAAGAA
rnacentral:rRNA from 1 species